rnacentral:tRNA from 1 species
GGGUCAGUAGCUCAGUUGGUAGAGCAGUAGGCUCUUAACCUAUUGGUCCAGGGUUCGAAUCCCUGCUGACCCACCA